CACACUGCUUACUUAAAAUCCCAUAAAACACACAUUUGUUCUCUUGGUUAUAUAAUUUUUAAUUGCCUAUAACUGGUUGUAGUACACCAACGAAAAUGGAAUAGAAAUCUAUUGUGAAUGGAGAUUCAUAGAGACUCUCUCUAACACAUGCUUGCAGACAAUUUCAUCUCACCCAAUCUAAGUCCCAUAUAUGUUGAUUGAUCUUAUAAUUGGGAUCCUAGCUCCGGUAUUUCAUAGACCUUCGAGUGAGAACCUAGCCAAACGAGCUACAAUCUCUGACUAAACUGAGAUGUUAAUUUAAUUCUUUUCCAACUAUAAAAGCGAUACAGACUUGGAGAAUGGAAAGAAAAGUUUACCGGAUUAAUUAAACACUCCAAUUUGAAGAGAGACUAGAAAAACAGAGGCUGGAGGAGGAGACAUAUUGAGUUAGUAUGCUGGUCUAUAUUAUUAUUGUAACCGCUGCUUGAGAGAUUUUUAAUUAUUGUCAUGUUUCUAAAAAAACUAUAUUA